UCACUGGUGGUUCAGUGGCUAAGACUCUGCACUCUCAAUGCAGGGAGCCUGAGUUCAAUCCCUGGUCGGGGAA
rfam:Ovis aries breed Texel chromosome 7, whole genome shotgun sequence.